UUGCCCAAAGCUCAAGCAAUCUGCCUACCUCAGCCUCCCAGUGCUGGGAUUUCAGGAGCGAGCCAGGGCCACUGGGAAUGAUCUUUCCCUUCCUUGCAUCAACCCAAGGACAUAAUUCAAAAAAGAAGAGCAAGGAAAACCUUAUCAUCUAGGUAUCUUUGAGGCAGUCAGCCCAUGACUCUUGAACUUGGAUUCUGAUCUCCCAAAAGUCUCAGAAUCAGAGCAAACUCUUCAGGACAAUAGCUGAUGUUCCCUUUCUUCUAGGCAUAGCCUUAAGGAGUCAAUAGGAUAAGAUAUCUUCACUACGGGCAUAAAGAGGGAAAUCAAAUCUAUCUUGUUCACUACUGUAACCCCCUUUAAGUCAAGCACAAGGCCUAAUACAUAGUAAAUGCUCAAUAAAUCCUCACUGUAAUUAAUACUAAAGGGAGAACAUUCUUCCCAAAUGCUCACAGAAUGUUCUGGAGCUAAAAUAAAAAUCUUGGCUGGGCAUGGUGGUUCACAUUUGUAAUCCCAGUGCUUUGUGACGCUGUUGCUUGAGCGUUUGAGACCAGCCAGGAGUUUGGGACCAGCCAGGGCAACAAAGUGAGACGCCAUCUUUAGAAAAAAUUUAAAAAGUAACUGGGCAUGAAAUUGUGGACAUGUGGCCCUAGCUACUCAAGAGGCUGAGGCUGGAGAAUGGCUCAAGCCCAGGAGCUUGGGGCUGCAGUGAGUCAUGGUCACACUACUGCACCCCAGCCUGGGUGACAGAGCAAGGCCUUGUCUCAAAAAUAAUAAUAGGAGUAAUGUUACAGAGCAGAGAGAGUGAGGAGGCUGUGUCUGGCUCCCGCUCUCACAGCCAUUGCAGUACAUUGAGCUCCAUAGAGACAGCACCAGGGCAAGUGAGAGCCGGAUGGGCACUGGGCAACUCUGUGCCUCACUGAGGAAAAAUAACUAAACAUGGGCAAAGGAGAUCCAGCAAGCCAAGAGGCAAAAUGUCAUCAUAUGCAUUUUUGUCAAGAGAAGCAUAAGAAGAAGCACCCAGAUGCUUCAGUCAACUUCUCAGAGUUUCCUAAGAAGUGCUCAGAGAGGUGGAAGACCAUGUCUGCUAAAAAGAAAGGAAAAUUUGAAGUUAUGGCAAAGGCGGACAAGGCCUGUUAUGAGAGAGAAAUGAAAAUCUGUAUUACUCCUAAAGGGAAGACAAAAAAGAAGUUCAAGGAUCCCAAUGCACCCAAAAGGCCUCCUUCGGCCUUUUUCCUGUUCUGUUCCGAGUAUCGCCCAAAAAUCAAAGGAGAACUUCCUGGCCUGUCCAUUGGUGAUGAUGUGAAGAAACUGGGAGAAAUGUGGACUAACACUGCUGCAGAUGACAAGCAGACUUAUGAAAAGAAGGCUGUGAAGCUGAAGGAAAAAUACAAAAAGGAUAUUGCUGCAUAUCGAGCUAAAGGAAAGCUUGAUGCAGCAAAAAAGGGAGUUGUCAAGACUGAAAAAAGUAAGAAAAAGAAGGAAGAUGAGAAAGAUGAAGAGGAUGAGGAGGAAGAGGAGUGGCCAGGCCUCUGGCCGCCUUCAGGCUCUGCUCCUGCAGCUGCGCAUACUCCACACCAAAGGAGACAAAGCUUUUGUUGAUUUCCUGAGUGAUUAAAUUAAGGAGAAAAGGAAAAUCCGGAAGCAUAAAACCCUCCUAAGAUGUCUGGAGGUUGGGAGCUGGAACUGAAUGGCACAGAAGCUAAAUUAGUGCUCCGGGGAAAAAAAUCACUGUCACUUUCAACAUUAACAACAGCAUCCCUGAAACAAAACAAAACAAAACAAAAAAAAAAAGAGGAAAACAGCAGCAUCCAACCAACAUUUGAUGGUGACAAGGACCCCUUGAAAGGGCAAAAGGUUGAAAAACAGGAGCCUGAAUUGACAUUAACUCCCAAUUUCGUGGUUGAAGUCAUAAAGAAUGAUGGCAAGAAGGCCCUUGUGCUGUACUGUCAUUAUCCAGAGGAUGAGGUUGAACAAGAAGAGGAAGCUGAGAGUGACAUCUCCUCUAUCAGGGAAGUUAGCUUUCGGUCCGCUAGAGAGUCUGAAUGGAAGGAUACUAAUUAUACAGUCAACACAGAUUCCCUGGGCUGGGCCUUAUAUGACCACCUAACCGAUUUCCUUGCAGACUGAGGGGUGGAUAACACUUUUGCAGAUGAGUUGGUGGAGCUCAGCACAGCCCUGGAGCACCAGGAGUACAUUACUUUUCUUGAAGAUCUCAAAAGUUUUGUCAAGAGCCAGUAAAGCAGACAGGCACUGAAAGCCACAGUUUUAUGACAGGCUUUUGGCCAGUGAACAAAUCCUACUCUGAAGCUAGACAUGUGCUUUGAAAUGAUUAUCAUCCUAAUAUUAUGGGGGGAAAACACCAAAUUUAAAUUAUAUGUUUUGUACUCUCAUUAUCACUUUUCUGUACACAUCUAUUGUUUCUACAUUUUUGUAUAACAUAAGACAAUAAAAUGGAUUUAUCUCCU